rnacentral:rRNA from 1 species
GACGAACGCUGGCGGCGUGCCUAAUACAUGCAAGUAGAACGCUGAAGGAGGAGCUUGCUUCUCCGGAUGAGUUGCGAACGGGUGAGUAACGCGUAGGUAACCUGCCUGGUAGCGGGGGAUAACUAUUGGAAACGAUAGCUAAUACCGCAUAACAGUAGAUGUUGCAUGACAUUUGCUUAAAAGGUGCAAUUGCAUCACUACCAGAUGGACCUGCGUUGUAUUAGCUAGUUGGUGAGGUAACGGCUCACCAAGGCGACGAUACAUAGCCGACCUGAGAGGGUGAUCGGCCACACUGGGACUGAGACACGGCCCAGACGCCUACGGGAGGCAGCAGUAGGGAAUCUUCGGCAAGGGACGGAAGUCUGACCGAGCAACGCCGCGUGAGUGAAGAAGGUUUUCGGAUCGUAAAGCUCUGUUGUAAGAGAAGAACGAGUGUGAGAGUGGAAAGUUCACACUGUGACGGUAGCUUACCAGAAAGGGACGGCUAACUACGUG